GNCGGCGUGCUUAACACAUGCAAGUCGAACGGUGAACACGGAGCUUGCUCUGUGGGAUCAGUGGCGAACGGGUGAGUAACACGUGAGCAACCUGCCCCUGACUCUGGGAUAAGCGCUGGAAACGGCGCCUAAUACUGGAUAUGUGACGUGACCGCAUGGUCUGCGUUUGGAAAGAUUUUUCGGUUGGGGAUGGGCUCGCGGCCUAUCAGCUUGUUGGUGAGGUAAUGGCUCACCAAGGCGUCGACGGGUUGCCGGCCUGAGAGGGUGACCGGCCACACUGGGACUGAGACACGGCCCAUAGGAUNACAAUUU
rnacentral:rRNA from 1 species